CUCACUAGUCGAGUCGGCCUGCGCGGAAGAUGUAACGGGGCUCAAACCACACACCGAAGCUGCGGGUGUCACGUAAGUGACGCGGUAGAGGAGCGUUCUGUAAGCCUGUGAAGGUGAGUUGAGAAGCUUGCUGGAGGUAUCAGAAGUGCGAAUGCUGACAUGAGUAACGACAAUGGGUGUGAAAAACACCCACGCCGAAAGACCAAGGGUUCCUGCGCAACGUUAAUCGACGCAGGGUUAGUCGGUUCCUAAGGCGAGGCUGAAAAGCGUAGUCGAUGGGAAACAGGUUAAUAUUCCUGUACUUCUGGUUACUGCGAUGGAGGGACGGAGAAGGCUAGGCCAGCUUGGCGUUGGUUGUCCAAGUUUAAGGUGGUAGGCUGAAAUCUUAGGUAAAUCCGGGGUUUCAAGGCCGAGAGCUGAUGACGAGUCGUCUUUUAGAUGACGAAGUGGUUGAUGCCAUGCUUCCAAGAAAAGCUUCUAAGCUUCAGGUAACCAGGAACCGUACCCCAAACCGACACAGGUGGUCGGGUAGAGAAUACCAAGGCGCUUGAGAGAACUCGGGUGAAGGAACUAGGCAAAAUGGCACCGUAACUUCGGGAGAAGGUGCGCCGGCUAGGGUGAAGGAUUUACUCCGUAAGCUCUGGCUGGUCGAAGAUACCAGGCCGCUGCGACUGUUUAUUAAAAACACAGCACUCUGCAAACACGAAAGUGGACGUAUAGGGUGUGACGCCUGCCCGGUGCCGGAAGGUUAAUUGAUGGGGUUAGCGCAAGCGAAGCUCUUGAUCGAAGCCCCGGUAAACGGCGGCCGUAACUAUAACGGUCCUAAGGUAGCGAAAUUCCUUGUCGGGUAAGUUCCGACCUGCACGAAUGGCGUAACGAUGGCGGCGCUGUCUCCACCCGAGACUCAGUGAAAUUGAAAUCGCUGUGAAGAUGCAGUGUAUCCGCGGCUAGACGGAAAGACCCCGUGAACCUUUACUGUAGCUUUGCACUGGACUUUGAGCCUGCUUGUGUAGGAUAGGUGGGAGGCUUUGAAGCGUGGACGCCAGUUCGCGUGGAGCCAUCCUUGAAAUACCACCCUGGCAUGCUUGAGGUUCUAACUCUGGUCCGUAAUCCGGAUCGAGGACAGUGUAUGGUGGGCAGUUUGACUGGGGCGGUCUCCUCCUAAAGAGUAACGGAGGAGUACGAAGGUGCGCUCAGACCGGUCGGAAAUCGGUCGCAGAGUAUAAAGGCAAAAGCGCGCUUGACUGCGAGACAGACACGUCGAGCAGGUACGAAAGUAGGUCUUAGUGAUCCGGUGGUUCUGUAUGGAAGGGCCAUCGCUCAACGGAUAAAAGGUACUCCGGGGAUAACAGGCUGAUACCGCCCAAGAGUUCAUAUCGACGGCGGUGUUUGGCACCUCGAUGUCGGCUCAUCACAUCCUGGGGCUGAAGCCGGUCCCAAGGGUAUGGCUGUUCGCCAUUUAAAGUGGUACGCGAGCUGGGUUUAGAACGUCGUGAGACAGUUCGGUCCCUAUCUGCCGUGGACGUUUGAGAUUUGAGAGGGGCUGCUCCUAGUACGAGAGGACCGGAGUGGACGAACCUCUGGUGUUCCGGUUGUCACGCCAGUGGCAUUGCCGGGUAGCUAUGUUCGGAAAAGAUAACCGCUGAAAGCAUCUAAGCGGGAAACUUGCCUCAAGAUGAGAUCUCACUGGGAACUUGAUUCCCCUGAAGGGCCGUCGAAGACUACGACGUUGAUAGGCUGGGUGUGUAAGCGUUGUGAGGCGUUGAGCUAACCAGUACUAAUUGCCCGUGAGGCUUGACCA
rnacentral:rRNA from 1 species